AGAGGGAGCGAGCGUUGUUCGGAAUUACUGGGCGUAAAGGGCGCGUAGGCGGUCUGGCAAGUCCCGCGUGAAAUCCCCCGGCUCAACCGGGGAAUGGCGCGGGAAACUGCCAGUCUUGAGUUCGGGAGAGGGAAGCGGAAUUCCGGGUGUAGCGGUGAAAUGCGCAGAUAUCCGGAGGAACAUCGGUGGCGAAGGCGGCUUCCUGGACCGACACUGACGCUGAGGCGCGAAAGCUAGGGGAGCAAACGGGAUUAGAUACCCCGGGUAGUCCUAGCUGUAAACGUUGAGUGCUGGGUGUUGGGGGUAUUGACCCCCCUCCAGUGCCGAAGCUAACGCAUUAAGCACUCCGCCUGGGGAGUACGGUCGCAAGGCUG
rnacentral:rRNA from 1 species